UACGAAGGGGGGCUAGCGUUGCUCGGAAUCACUGGGCGUAAAGCGCACGUAGGCGGAUUCCUAAGUCGGUGGUGAAAUCCUGGAGCUCAACUCCAGAACUGCCUCCGAUACUGAGAGUCUUCGAGUCCGGGAGAGGUGAGUGGAACUGCGAGUGUAGAGGUGAAAUUCGUAGAUAUUCGCAAGAACACCAGUGGCGAAGGCGGCUCACUGGCCCGGUACUGACGCUGAGGUGCGAAAGCGUGGGGAGCAAACGGGG
rnacentral:rRNA from 1 species